GCUAAAUGAAGACAAAUAUUUAUCUGGGCUCUGCAAUUUGAAUAUAUAUUCAAGCAUUCAAGAUCAUCUGAGUGCAUAUCUCUGUUUUAAAAUAUGACCUGUCUGAACUGAAGAACCACAUGCUUCCAUCUGGCAAGCACCAGUUUUGUCCAGUCAAAACAUCAAAACCCAAAAUAUUUCCAUCACACUUUUUAAUCACAAAAUCACCCUUAACUGAGGAGAAAAGGGCAAAGGGAAGAACAGGGGAUGUAAGGACUCAUGAUGACCACCUCACUUGGCACAGGAACCUGUCUCUGUGGCAGCCCAAUUUGAAUGGAGCCAGACAUCAUUGUUAAUGACACAAUUCAGUCAAGCUACCUCUGGCUGGACGGAAAUUCUAAAGACUGAGCUGUGCAUGGGGUUUGGGGUAUCUCUGCAAAAGCUGCAGGGAUAGAGUCUGAUUUCUCUCUCUUCUGAUUGCAUCUCUACUCUUUCCUGCCCAAAAUUUUGCUCAGUCUCCUCUCACGCACCCCAACUGAUGAGUUUCCUUUCUGCAGUCCUGAAAAAGCCCAGAAGAGAAAAGGAAAAGGUACCAUGUAAGCAGUAGAGGCCCUCAGAGCAUGUAAGGGAUGGCGAAGGUACUGGAAAAUUGAGGGACAUCCUGGACCAAACAAGUUCCUAUUUACUAGACUAACUGCAGAAUUUCUGAAGACUGCUGUUACCCUACAGCUGAAUACAAAAGUAUAUCCUGGCUCCCACUGAGACACGGAAAACCACAGGCAGGGUUUGUGCCAGUAGAAAUGGCUCUGCAAAUAGUUGCAUGUGUGAAAACACUUCACACCACUGAGGUAAUUGUAAUUAUGUUUUUUGCCUUCCAAUCUGAGCCAUAAAAAGUACUUAAGACCCAUCCUAGACUGUAGCCAUGGGAAUUGAUUUGCUAUUUAUUGAAUCUCAUGGAUCCAGAGAUUAGGCUGUUUGUAGGGAAUGUGUUUGCUCCAGCUGUAGAGAAGGUGAUGCAUGAGCCUGGCCACAUCAAGGUCUUGCUUUUAUCCCCAUGUCUUUCAUAUGACAGAAGCCUAAAAUCCUUUUCUCUUUGGGUCACUGACCAUUUCUGUCACUACAAUACUAGCAGAAUCUAGAGCAGGCUGAACAGAUUCCUAUCCGCUAUAGCAUUCUUCCCAUUUUAAAAUUGUAAGAAACAGAAGAACAAAGAGUACAUAUAUUUUUGAAUCAAUAGGGAAGUGAAUUCUUUCAUAGUUCUAUAACUGUAUCAACCUGUAAUAAUGCUUUUAUCAAACAAAUAUCUAUAAUUUGUUUUGUCAAGUAAAAGAUUCGGGUUGGAAAGAACAGUAUCCAGCUACAUGUAAAAACGAUUUUCUGUCUUGUAUGCUUGUUCUAAAAUGUAAAAUCCCACUUUCUCUAUGUAUGUUCCCUCAUGGUGAACCAUGCAAUAUACAGUUGGAAAUUUUAACUUGCUUACUUUCUUAGACUAAACUGUUAUACUUUGCAGCCUGUAAUGGCCUUAACAGUGAUAUUCCUAUAAAUAUUAGUACAAGUAUUAAGGACAAUGGAAAUAAGCCUUGUGUGAUGUAAUCCUGCAGGUUUUGUGCAUUCUGAUCAUGAUUCAGCAAAGCACUUAGUGGCAUAUAUUUUGUCUUACCUGUAUGUAUAGAAUUCAGCAGGGGUAUUUGCAUGUUUAAAGGUAAGGAUGCAUUUGAGCACUCUACUGAACUAGAUUCAGAGUAAUUCUCAGCUGUCAAGAUCCUGUUUACUGUGAAUAACAUAGCAGAUUUCGCAAGACAGAAACACUCAUGUUGCACUGGAACUACUCUUCAGAAACCACCAAAGUAGCUACCUACAUAUAACCACAGUUCAGUUAUGAGUGUUCCUCCCA